UUAGUAAUGGCGAAUGAACAAGGAACAGCUCAAAUUGACAGUCUGAACCCAAGGUUUCGACUUGCGUGUUCUAAUUGCGUUGCCAAUGCAAGUGUGCAUGUAAGGCUUUUGGGAAAAAGCGGGAAUGAAGGUGAAACUCCUGCGCGGCAUGUGCAAUCUUUCAUGCAAGGCGUGCUCUUAAGAGUCGCGUUCCUUGGCAUUGGAGCGCAAAACGGGUGGUAAACUUCAUCCAAAGCUAAAUAUUGGGUUGAGACCGAUAGCAAACAAGUACCAUGAGGGAAUUGUGAAAAGGACUUUGGAAAGAAAGUUAGAAGUACCUGAAAUUGCUGAAAUCAAAGCAAAUGGCAUGUCUGAAGUCAAGCAAGAUUGCGGUGCGCAGCUUUCAGUCAGCUGGUGUGUAUGCUUAAGCAUCCUAGGCUGUUUCCGCGUACAGUGCGUCUUGCUUUGUAUGUCAAAACCAAGCUGCGGUGCCAAUGUUAUGAGCAUGAGGUAACUACCAUCGCUUGGUGUGAUCAUGCCCACAUCUGGCAUUUGGUUUGGUUGUUGUUGCCAGGUGGUGUGCUACGUGGAAGGCUUAUGCUUUUGGGGUGCGCUUGGC
rnacentral:rRNA from 1 species